rnacentral:rRNA from 1 species
UACGUAGGGUGCAAGCGUUGUCCGGAAUUAUUGGGCGUAAAGAGCUUGUAGGCGGUUUGUCGCGUCUGCUGUGAAAACUCGGGGCUUAACCCCGGGCCUGCAGUGGGUACGGGCAGACUAGAGUGCGGUAGGGGAGACUGGAAUUCCUGGUGUAGCGGUGAAAUGCGCAGAUAUCAGGAGGAACACCGGUGGCGAAGGCGGGUCUCUGGGCCGUAACUGACGCUGAGGAGCGAAAGCGUGGGGAUCAAACAGG